AGGUUUUUAGUCUAAGAUAAUUGAUUUAGACUCUAUAAAUCAUGGUUCUACCCCAUGAAUACCUU
rnacentral:tRNA from 1 species